rnacentral:rRNA from 1 species
AAUAUUGCACAAUGGGGGAAACCCUGAUGCAGCGACGCCGCGUGAGCGAAGAAGUAUCUCGGUAUGUAAAGCUCUAUCAGCAGGGAAGAAAAUGACGGUACCCGACUAAGAAGCACCGGCUAAAUACGUGCCAGCAGCCGCGGUAAUACGUAUGGUGCAAGCGUUAUCCGGAUUUACUGGGUGUAAAGGGAGCGUAGACGGAGAAGCAAGUCUGGAGUGAAAGCCCGGGGCUCAACCCCGGGACUGCUUUGGAAACUGUUUGUCUAGAGUGCCGGAGAGGUAAGCGGAAUUCCUAGUGUAGCGGUGAAAUGCGUAGAUAUUAGGAGGAACACCAGUGGCGAAGGCGGCUUACUGGACGGUAACUGACGUUGAGGCUCGAAAGCGUGGGGAGCAAACAG